GACGAACGCUGGCGGCGUGCCUAAUAGAUGCAAGUCGAGCGAAGUUUUUCUGGUGCUUGCACUAGAAAAACUUAGCGGCGAACGGGUGAGUAACACGUAAAGAACCUGCCUCAUAGACUGGGACAACUAUUGGAAACGAUAGCUAAUACCGGAUAACAGUAUUUCUCGCAUGAGAGAUAUUUAAAAGUUGGUUAUGCUAACACUAUGAGAUGGCUUUGCGGUGCAUUAGCUAGUUGGUGGGGUAAAGGCCCACCAAGGCGACGAUGCAUAGCCGACCUGAGAGGGUGAUCGGCCACACUGGGACUGAGACACGGCCCAGACUCCUACGGGAGGCAGCAGUAGGGAAUCUUCCGCGAUGGGCGAAAGCCUGACGGAGCAACGCCGCGUGAGUGAAGAAGGAUUUCGGUUCGUAAAGCUCUGUUGUUAGGGAAGAAUGGAUAUGUAGUAACUAUACAUGUAAGAGACGGUACCUAACCAGAAAGCCACGGCUAACUACGUG
rnacentral:rRNA from 1 species